CAACACAAACACGUCCACGUCCACGUCCACGUUCGCAAUGCAGAGGAUUCGUGCGCGCGCACGCAGCCGGUGUUAGCAGGCCCGGUGACCCCGCGGCGGCUAAUUGGAUGACGCGCAAACAGCAUUCUUGGAUUAAGGGGGGACGGAUCGUUCGAAUCGCACAUCGACGCCGCAGACGAGAACCGAGCUGAGCCGAGCUCACCUCCGCGCUACCGCAGCAUCCCAUCUCAUCCGGGGACAGCAGUUCGGGGGAGCAAGGUCCAAAUCCUGGGUGGAGUUUGCAUAUUCUCCACAUACCUGCCAGUUUUUCUUGGGCCACUCUGGUCUCCCGGUCGCUGUGAUUACUUCCCUCCCCCCAGCAUCUUUGUUCCGCACUUUCGGGGAGCUCACGAGGCGUUGGUAGGCCAGCCGGGAGACGGACGUGUCGCGGGUGGUCCCCGGCCAGGGAGCCGCUCGUUAGGCAUCCUAACCAGAUACCCGAACCGCCUUAUCUGGCUGCUUUUGAGAUGAAGAGCGACACGUGGACUCUGACUCAGGACUCUCCGAUUUGACAGUGCUGAUUCUCACUGGGGCCUUAAAACACCCCAGCGAGAGUUGGAGAUUGCGGCUUGAUGAAGCCACCAGAACCACAUUUUCUGCAAAAGCAGAGAUGUCAUUACUGAGGUUACCAAAUUGGCACCUCAUAUUCCUGGAGCACCCUCCACAGGAGUCCCCGAGAGACGCCGUUAAACGCCAUCUCAAAGUCCACAAAGCACACGUACGCUGGUUGUGCAAACUGCCACGUACUCUUUAGAACCCCGCAGAGGGUGUGGAGCCGGUCCACAUAUUCCACGGCCAGGACGAAAACCAAAGCCGACCAAACCUAAAUCUGAGAUGGAAUUUCCGAGCACCCCGCAAUAGAGAACAGCAGAGAGGCACAGCAGUGUGAUCCCUUUCUAGUUGGAACCCGGCCGGCCCUUCUUAUGGGGGGGGGGCGACCCGUCUCCAAGCCCACAGGUACCGUCCAUGCCGCAGAGGCGCGUACGCCAGGUCUGCCCCGCAACAUCAAGAGUACCUUCCAUCGCCUCCGGGGGUCUUGCCCAAGAGCGGAUUUUGAAACUCAGAUGUAGAAAACUGGAAGUCUUUUUCAGUUUCAGACAGCUGAAUUAUGUUUACGUUUUAUGAAAACGAAAUCGAUGUUUCGAGCUCUGUUUAUGUUAAGAAGGGAAAAAAAUCGGAGCAUAUCUUGUAAGAAGUGAAGAAAGAUGACAAUUUCGGGACCUCGAAGUCCACUCACUUUUUUUUGCUGGGGUGGGCCACAAAAAAACGAUGUGAUGUGUGGCCCAUCACAUCACAACUUAGACAAGUGUUAUGUGUAAGAAAAAAAUUAUAUUAUCCCACGACUGUACACAAGAUUAUUGCUGUCGGGCAGAACCGUAUUCUUUGAUAAAUUUCAUAUUUUUUUCACAGAUCAAUAAAGCUACUGCUCAGUCCCAA